CGGCCAGUAGCGCAGCCUGGUAGCGCACAUGCCUUGGGCGCAUGGGGUCGUGAGUUCAAAUCUCGCCUGGCCGACCA
rnacentral:tRNA from 1 species